UGUAAGCGUAUACCAAAGUUGUUGCAGUUAAAACGCUCGUAGUCGGACCUUGGUAGUUCCGGGGGUGUGCGCGUCGUGUGCAUGCUCUGCGGGGACUACUUUCGUGGUGUUGUCGGAGGGAUGAAGCAUUUUAAUUAAUGAACGUCCACCGCACCCACUUUUACUGUGAGAAAAUCAGAGUGCUCAAAGCAGGCAAUUGCCGUGAAUGUAUUAGCAUGGAAUAAUAGAAUAGGACUCGUUUCUAUUUUGUUGGUUUGUUGGGAAUGAGUAAUGAUUAAGAGGGACAGUUGGGGGCAUUUGUAUUACGAGGCUAGAGGUGAAAUUCUUAGAUUCUCGUAAGACAAACUGCUGCGAAAGCGUCUGCCAAGGAUGUUUUCAUUGA
rnacentral:rRNA from 1 species